UACGGGGGGGGCAAGCGUUGUUCGGAAUUACUGGGCGUAAAGGGCUCGUAGGUGGCCAACUAAGUCAGACGUGAAAUCCCUCGGCUCAACCGGGGAACUGCGUCUGAGACUGGCGGGCUCGAGGACAGGAGAGGAACGCGGAAUUCCAGGUGUAGCGGUGAAAUGCGUAGAUAUCUGGAGGAACACCGGUGGCGAAGGCGGCGUUCUGGACUGUUUCUGACACUGAGGAACGAAAGCCAGGGGAGCAAACGGG
rnacentral:rRNA from 1 species